rnacentral:rRNA from 1 species
AGUCGAGGGGCAUCACAGAUUAGUUUACUAAUUGGGUGGCGACCGGCGCACGGGUGCGUAACGCGUAUGCAACCUACCUUGUACUGGGGUAUAGCCCGGAGAAAUUCGGAUUAAUCCCCCAUAGUAUUAAUUGCUCGCAUGAGUUAUUAAUUAAAGGUUACGGUACAAGAUGGGCAUGCGUCCUAUUAGCUAGAUGGUGGGGUAACGGCUCACCAUGGCUACGAUAGGUAGGGGGCCUGAGAGGGUGGUCCCCCACGCUGGUACUGAGACACGGACCAGACUCCUACGGGAGGCAGCAGUGAGGAAUAUUGGUCAAUGGGCGCAAGCCUGAACCAGCCAUGCCGCGUGCAGGAAGAAUGCCCUAUGGGUUGUAAACUGCUUUUAUUUAGGAAUAAACUCUUGUACGUGUACAAGCCUGAAGGUACUAAAUGAAUAAGCACCGGCUAACUCCGUGCCAGCAGCCGCGGUAAUACGGAGGGUGCAAGCGUUAUCCGGAAUCAUUGGGUUUAAAGGGUCCGCAGGCGGAUUUAUAAGUCAGUGGUGAAAUCCUAUCGCUUAACGAUAGAACUGCCAUUGAUACUGUAAGUCUUGAAUUCGGUCGAAGUGGGCGGAAUGUGUAGUGUAGCGGUGAAAUGCAUAGAUAUUACACAGAACACCGAUAGCGAAGGCAGCUCACUAGGCCUGGAUUGACGCUCAGGGACGAAAGCGUGGGGAUCAAACAGGAUUAGAUACCCUGGUAGUCCACGCUGUAAACGAUGAUUACUCGUUUUCGGCGAUAUACAGUCGGAGACUAAGCGAAAGUGAUAAGUAAUCCACCUGGGGAGUACGAUCGCAA